rnacentral:rRNA from 1 species
CGCAUCUGUGCAUGCAGCAUAUCAAUAAGCGGAGGAAAAGAAACUAACAAGGAUUCCCCUAGUAACGGCGAGUGAAGCGGGAAGAGCUCAAAUUUGAAAUCUUAAAGGGUUUCCCUUUACGAAUUGUAGUUUAAAGAAGUGUUUUCUGUUGAGGUUUUGGUAAAAGUUCUUUGGAAUAGGACAUCAUAGAGGGCGAGAAUCCCGUAUUUGACCUUUACUUUCAACUUUGUGAUACACUUUCAAAGAGUCGGAUUGUUUGGGAAUGCAGUCCAAAAUGGGUGGUAAAUUUCAUCUAAAGCUAAAUAUUGGCGAGAGACCGAUAGCGAACAAGUACCGUGAGGGAAAGAUGAAAAGAACUUUGAAAAGAGAGUUAAACAGUACGUGAAAUUGUCAAAAGGGAAGCGUUUGACACCAGUGUUGUUUUUCUGAAAAUCAAUUAAAGAACUGUUUAUGCUAAGCUUGUUUAGACUUUAUCAGCUAUCUGUUUAGUUUUGAGCUUUUCUUUAAUGCACUUUUCAGUUAACAAGUCAACAUCAAUUUCUUUUGCUAUAAAAAAGCUUGAGGAAGGUGGCUUGAGAUUCGUCUUAAGUGUUUAUAGCCUCUUGCCUAUGCAGUCGGAGAGAUUGAGGUCUGCAGCGUAGAUCCUUCGGGGCUAAAUGCAUUUGUGCUAAGUUAUAGCAUUUUAUAGACAACUUGUUGACUAUGAUUUGUCUUGUAGCUUACUCGCUUAUGUUAUUUUACCUACGCUUAGGAUGUUGAGUCAUCACACAUCUCU